AAAAUAAAAAAACACCAACAGCAGAAGGUCACCAACAGGUCUUCAAUGUAGCGAGAAAUUCCCGCACCCGGAGGCGUCCUUCAGCUGGCCCCUAAACAAAUAUAUACUAGUUCAGUGAUAAUGAACGCCAUACUAAUUUCCAAAUUGUACACAAGAAACUAAAAUUUAAAUAAUACAAGACUAACAAAGGCCAGAGGCUCCUGACUUGGGACAGGCGCAAAAAAUGCGGCGGGGUUAAACAUGUUUGUGAGAUCUCAACCCUCCCCCUAUACCUCUAACCAGUGUAGAAAAGUAAAAGCAUAACAAUACGCAC
rnacentral:lncRNA from 1 species